CUACUGGGUGCAGAUCACCCAAGAGCUCCCUCGUAUUCCCCUGACUCUACACAAUGACUCAGAAUCUUGCAGCCAGCACUCUAAGCCAUUGCUUGAAUGUCAGACCAUGAGGGAACCCAUAAAGCUCUUAGGGAUUAUACCCCCUCCUGCCAAAAGGUAAACACGAGGGGGGCAACUUCCCCAAUACAUCCAGACACUACCCACACAACAUUCAGCCACACUCAGAUUCCCCCCAACACACACGAAUACACAUUCAGACUCCUUCACAAAAUCGUUAUCAACCACACACAACACUCAACCAGCACUCAAUCUCCC